rnacentral:tRNA from 1 species
AGGACUUUAGCUUAAUUAAAGUUUUGAGUUGCAUUCAUAAGAUGUAGGGUAGUCAUUUGCAAGCCCUA